rnacentral:tRNA from 1 species
GGGCGCAUAGCUCAGCUGGCAGAGCACCUCCCUUACAAGGAGGCGGUCACGUGUUCAAGUCACGUUGCGCCCA